rnacentral:rRNA from 1 species
AGUGAACGCUGGCGGUAGGCCUAACACAUGCAAGUCGAACGGCAGCACAGUAAGAGCUUGCUCUUAAGGGUGGCGGGUGGCGGACGGGUGAGACGUACAUCGGAAUCUACUAUUUCGUGGGGGAUUACGUAGGGAAACUUACGAUAAUACCGCAUAUGAUCUACGGGUGAAAGCAGGGGAUCUUCGGACCUUGCGUGAUUGAAUGAGCCGAUGUCGGAUUAGCUAGUUGGCUGGGUAAGGGCCCACCAAGGCGACGAUCCGUAGCUGGUCUGAGAGGAUGAUCAGCCACACUGGAACUGAGACACGGUCCAGACUCCUACGGGAGGCAGCAGUGGGGAAUAUUCGACAAUGGGCGCAAGCCUGAUCCAGCCAUGCCGCGUGAGUGAAGAAGGCCUUCGGGUCGUAAAGCCCUUUUGUUGGGGAAGAAAAGCAGCAGGUUAAUCCCCCGCUGUUCUGACGGUACCCAAAGAAUAAGCCCCGGCUAACUUCGUG